rnacentral:rRNA from 1 species
AUUGAACGCUGGCGGCAUGCUUUACACAUGCAAGUCGAACGGUAACAGGUCUUCGGAUGCUGACGAGUGGCGAACGGGUGAGUAAUGCAUCGGAACGUGCCCAGUCGUGGGGGAUAACGCAGCGAAAGCUGCGCUAAUACCGCAUACGAUCUAUGGAUGAAAGCGGGGGACCGUAAGGCCUCGCGCGAUUGGAGCGGCCGAUGUCAGAUUAGGUAGUUGGUGGGGUAAAGGCCCACCAAGCCAACGAUCUGUAGCUGGUCUGAGAGGACGACCAGCCACACUGGGACUGAGACACGGCCCAGACUCCUAUGGGAGGCAGCAGUGGGGAAUUUUGGACAAUGGGCGCAAGCCUGAUCCAGCAAUGCCGCGUGCAGGAAGAAGGCCUUCGGGUUGUAAACUGCUUUUGUACGGAACGAAACGGCUCUCUCUAAUACAGAGGGCUAAUGACGGUACCGUAAGAAUAAGCACCGGCUAACUACGUGCCAGCAGCCGCGGUAA